rnacentral:misc_RNA from 1 species
ACCCUUGUGGAGGAGGACGCCGAAGGUGGGGCUAAUGACUGGGGUGAAGUCGUAACAAGGUAGCCGUACCGGAAGGUGCGGCUGGAUCACCUCCUAACAGGGAGACAACAAAAUGUUAAAUAUUAAUUUUGUCACCUUAGGUCGAUCGGUAUCUCACAUUCUUAAAUUUAUUAAGGAUUUUAUUUCCUAAGUUUUUUCUAGGUCACACCCAUUACUUUUCCUGGGCCAUUAGCUCAGGUGGUUAGAGCGCACCCCUGAUAAGGGUGAGGUCCCUGGUUCAAGUCCAGGAUGGCCCAUAUCUCUAUGUUGGGGGUAUAGCUCAGUUGGUAGAGCGCCUGCUUUGCAAGCAGGAUGUCAGCGGUUCGAGUCCGCUUACCUCCACUGAUUACCACCUCUUCCAUAAUUUUAUAAGGAAAUGUUUUGAGUUUCGAUCAAAUUCUGAACGAAUCUAGCUUCCUAAUUAUCUUUAUUAAGAUGCUGGACUCAUUGAAUUAAUUUCAUUGUUUUCAGAGAACCUUGACAACUGCAUAGAUUAUUUUUAAAGACAAUAAGCAUCUUUAAUGAUGCAGAUUUAUUAUUUGUGCUAAUGCAUUAAUAACAAUUCUAUUAAGCUGAUGCUUCAAUUUUUGAAGUUAUUGGUCAAGCUACAAAGGGCUCACGGAGGAUACCUAGGCACACAGAGGC